CCAAAACACAGACCAGAAAGACAGUUAAAUUAGUCCAUCUUGAUGGUAUUAAGGCUCCUGCCAUUUUUCUGUCAUCAUUACAACUUCCAUUUCUGGUCAAAUUGAUCUAAUAUAGUCCUUUAGUAUAAAUAUAUUCACAAACAUCUGUUGUUCUCUUUUUAAUCUCCCCAAAGAAAGAAGUUAGUGCAUUAUUCAUUGAUAGGAUCAAAACAAUAUAAGAUGAUCCAGUUCCAACCUCUCUUCUGCAGGUGGGAGCUGGCCUGGGGCCAGGUGGAAAGGUGUCCGUGGAUGCCGGCAAGGGCGGCGAUCCUGGCCUGCUGCGCAUGCGGGCACUUUGGCCGGAAGAGGACCUCUCCCCCUCCCUCUCCAUUCCCAACUGCCAGUGCCCUGCUGAGGGGAGGGACAGCCAAGGCACCCCUGCUGGGAGCUCCCAGACCCGCUGCGGCGAGGGGAGGGGCGUGGCGUCCCCACCCCGCACCCCCCACCCAGACAGCUGAGCUGCAGCAGCGGCUCCAGACCUCCCGCCAGGCUAGGCGCUGGGCCUCUCAGGCUCCAGAGGCCAAGACGGGUGCGAGCAGAUGCUGGCCCUCUCCUGGGGGUCCCGAAGCGCCCAGACUCCACAGGCUUCGAGCUACACCUGAGCCAGGGUUUCCAAGAAAGUACUCAAGUGGACUCUAAGCCCUUGAAGUUUGACUUGACUCAGGCCAGCAAUUUGCCACCCAGGCCUCACCACACUGCCGGAUUUCACCAGGUCCAAGCAUCAAACCAGGAGCUCACUCAGGUACACCCUUUAAGAGACCCCACACAGCUCCUACCUGCUCUGGGAUGGCCUGGACCCCUUCUUCCCCUCCCCCCUCUUCCAUCUGUCCUUCAACCUCUUCCAUCUAUCUCCUCCUGCUCAGUCCUUUCCUCCCCCUCCUCUAUCUAUUCCUCUUCAUCCUCCUGCUCUUCAUGCUCUUCCUGAUCCAUCUUCCUUGCAUCCUCCUCCUCACCUCCGUUCAUGUUUCUCCUCUUCUCACUCUUGUCCCUAUUUCUUAUCCUCAUUCACCUCCUCCUCCAUCCUGCUGCAUCCACCUUUUCUCCUGAAUCCAUCUUUCCUCUUGCUAGACCUUCCUUCCUUUCUUCCCAUCCUCCUCCUCCUCCUGCAUCCUCUCCCCUCCUGCACCUCCUUCAGCCUCACAUGUCCAUCUUCUCCCUCUCUUCCUUUUCUGGACAAGAGUCUGACCUCUAACCUUGGGCUCCUCCAGGUCGUCGGGCACCUCUGGCAGCAGCCCGUAGUUCAUGGAACCCAGAAGGGGCUUCAUGCUCAGGGAUUGGUGCUAGAGGUCCUUGUCACCUUGACCUCAGACCCAUGUGCUCCAGGCACCCACCACAGUCCUCUUCCCUUGAGAUAUUGGUAGAGGGUGAGGGUGCAGCUCAAGCCCACCUUUCUGACACUCCCUGUUGGAUGUGGGCCUCUCCUCUCAAGAUGGUAAGAAGGUAAGCAGGUGGGUGUGGAGAUCAGGUGGGUUCGAUCAGGGCCAGAAGAUGAGCAAGCUUCAGAGCAGGUCAGUGACCGCAAGAACCUCCACCUGCCUGGGGACAUGAUGCAGAGUGGGUUCCAGGCAGCUGCAAGUUCAUUCUAAUUCCACACAAUAUUGGGCUAAGGUCAGAAGUAAGGGUCAGUACUGAGCCCAAA
rnacentral:lncRNA from 1 species